rnacentral:rRNA from 1 species
GCUCUAUAACCCUUUGUGAACAUACCUAUAACUGUUGCUUCGGCGGGUAGGGUCUCCGUGACCCUCCCGGCCUCCCGCCCCCGGGCGGGUCGGCGCCCGCCGGAGGAUAACCAAACUCUGAUUUAACGACGUUUCUUCUGAGUGGUACAAGCAAAUAAUCAAAACUUUUAACAACGGAUCUCUUGGUUCUGGCAUCGAUGAAGAACGCAGCGAAAUGCGAUAAGUAAUGUGAAUUGCAGAAUUCAGUGAAUCAUCGAAUCUUUGAACGCACAUUGCGCCCGCCAGCAUUCUGGCGGGCAUGCCUGUUCGAGCGUCAUUUCAACCCUCAAGCUCUGCUUGGUGUUGGGGCCCUACAGCUGAUGUAGGCCCUCAAAGGUAGUGGCGGACCCUCCCGGAGCCUCCUUUGCGUAGUAACUUUACGUCUCGCACUGGGAUCCGGAGGGACUCUUGCCGUAAAACCCCCCAAUUUUCCAAAGGUUGACCUCGGAUCAGGUAGGAAUACCCGCUGAACUUAAGCAUAUCAAUAAGCGGAGGAAAAGAAACCAACAGGGAUUGCCUCAGUAACGGCGAGUGAAGCGGCAACAGCUCAAAUUUGAAAUCUGGCCCUAGGCCCGAGUUGUAAUUUGCAGAGGAUGCUUUUGGUGCGGUGCCUUCCAAGUUCCCUAGAACGGGACGCCAGAGAGGGUGAGAGCCCCGUACAGUUGGACACCAAGCCUUUGCAAAGCUCCUUCGACGAGUCGAGUAGUUUGGGAAUGCUGCUCAAAAUGGGAGGUAUAUUUCUUCUAAAGCUAAAUACCGGCCAGAGACCGAUAGCGCACAAGUAGAGUGAUCGAAAGAUGAAAAGCACUUUGAAAAGAGGGUUAAACAGCACGUGAAAUUGUUAAAAGGGAAGCGCUUGUGACCAGACUUGCGUCCGGUGAAUCACCCAGCUCUCGCGGCUGGGGCACUUCGCCGGCUCAGGCCAGCAUCAGCUCGCUGUCGGGGACAAAAGCUUCAGGAACGUAGCUCUCUUCGGGGAGUGUUAUAGCCUGUUGCAUAAUACCCUUCGGCGGGCUGAGGUACGCG